rnacentral:rRNA from 1 species
UACGGAGGAUCCAAGCGUUAUCCGGAUUCAUUGGGUUUAAAGGGUGCGUAGGCGGAAUGAUAAGUCAGUGGUGAAAUCCUGCAGCUUAACUGCAGAACUGCCAUUGAUACUGUCAAUCUUGAGUAUAUUUGAUGUGGGCGGAAUGUGUCAUGUAGCGGUGAAAUGCUUAGAUAUGACACAGAGCACCGAUUGCGAAGGCAGCUCACAAAACUAUAACUGACGCUGAGGCACGAAGCGUGGGUAUCAAACAGGAAUUAGAUACC